rnacentral:rRNA from 1 species
GACGAACGCUGGCGGCGUGCUUAACGCAUGCAAGUCGAACGGAAAGGCCCUGCUUUUGUGGGGUGCUCGAGUGGCGAACGGGUGAGUAACACGUGAGUAACCUGCCCUUGACUUUGGGAUAACUUCAGGAAACUGGGGCUAAUACCGGAUAGGAGCUCCUGCUGCAUGGUGGGGGUUGGAAAGUUUCGGCGGUUGGGGAUGGACUCGCGGCUUAUCAGCUUGUUGGUGGGGUAGUGGCUUACCAAGGCUUUGACGGGUAGCCGGCCUGAGAGGGUGACCGGCAACAUUGGGACUGAGAUAAGGCACAGACUCCUACGGGAGGCAGCAGGGGGGAAUAUUGCACAAUGGGCGGAAGCUGGAGGCAGCAACGCCGCGUGCGGGAUGACGGACUUAGGGUUGUAAACCGCUUUCGCCUGUGACGAAGCGUGAGUGACGGUAAUGGGUAAAGAAGCACCGGCUAACUACGUG